GCCAUUUUUGAGCAGAGCUGUUUGGAGGCGCCGCGGAGGUGUAAGCUGCAUGACUGGAUUCUCACGGGUGUAAGAUCAAAGAGGAAUUCCAGAGAAUAACUACGGUUUCGCAAGAGCAGAGCUUCAUGUACAAACUUGACCACUACACUCCAAAACUUGUUGCCCUCAUGAAGGCCAAGGGAGGUGUUGUAGAGACCAAGCUGAGGCCACACUUAGACAAACUGUCAGAAACAAAGCAUUGAAAUGAGACAAGAUGCUGUUAUCCGCAGCCUCAUACUGUACCUUGGCGAGAAAGAAGAACUACUUUUUGAAGAUUGCCUGGUGAAUUGUUCCUU